rnacentral:rRNA from 1 species
CGUAGGUGGCAAGCGUUGUCCGGAUUUAUUGGGUUUAAAGGGUGCGUAGGCGGUCUUAUAAGUCAGUGCUGAAAUCUCCCGGCUUAACCGGGAGGGUGGCAUUGAUACUGUAGGACUCGAGUAAAGUUGAGGUUGGCGGAAUUGACGGUGUAGCGGUGAAAUGCUUAGAUAUCGUCAAGAACACCGAUAGUGUAGACAGCUAACUAAGCUUUAACUGACGCUGAGGCACGAAAGUGUGGGGAUCAAACAGGAUUAGAUACCCUGGUAGUCCACACUGUAAACGUUGAAGACUCGCUGUUGGCGAUACACAGUCAGCGGCUGAGAGAAAUCGUUAAGUCUUCCACCUGGGGAGUACGCCGGCAACGGUG